rnacentral:rRNA from 1 species
GUGGAUUAGAUACCCUGGUAGUCCACGCCCUAAACGAUGUCAACUAGGUGUUGGGUGGGUAAAACCAUUUAGUACCGUAGCUAACGCGUGAAGUUGACCGCCUGGGGAGUACGGCCGCAAGGUUAAAACUCAAAGGAAUUGACGGGGACCCGCACAAGCGGUGGAUGAUGUGGAUUAAUUCGAUGCAACGCGAAAAACCUUACCUACCCUUGACAUGUCCAGGAGCUCUUAGAGAUUUGAGUGUGCCCGAAAGGGAACUGGAACACAGGUGCUGCAUGGUCGUCGUCAACU